AAAGAGGAGUGGCGAACGGGUGAGUAACACGUGGGUAACCUGCCCAUCAGAAGGGGAUAACACUUGGAAACAGGUGCUAAUACCGUAUAACAAUCGAAACCGCAUGGUUUUGAUUUGAAAGGCGCUUUCGGGUGUCGCUGAUGGAUGGACCCGCGGUGCAUUAGCUAGUUGGUGAGGUAACGGCUCACCAAGGCCACGAUGCAUAGCCGACCUGAGAGGGUGAUCGGCCACAUUGGGAUUGAGACACGGCCCAAACUCCUACGGGAGGCAGCAGUAGGGAAUCUUCGGCAAUGGACGAAAGUCUGACCGAGCAACGCCGCGUGAGUGAAGAAGGUUUUCGGAUCGUAAAACUCUGUUGUUAGAGAAGAACAAGGAUGAGAGUAACUGUUCAUCCCUUGACGGUAUCUAACCAGAAAGCCACGGCUAACUACGUGCCAGCAGCCGCGGUAAUACGUAGGUGGCAAGCGUUGUCCGGAUUUAUUGGGCGUAAAGCGAGCGCAGGCGGUUUCUUAAGUCUGAUGUGAAAGCCCCCGGCUCAACCGGGGAGGGUCAUUGGAAACUGGGAGACUUGAGUGCAGAAGAGGAGAGUGGAAUUCCAUGUGUAGCGGUGAAAUGCGUAGAUAUAUGGAGGAACACCAGUGGCGAGGGCGGCUCCCUGGUUUCUGUAACUGACGCUGAGG
rnacentral:rRNA from 1 species